ensembl:lncRNA
CCUCAGUUCAGCGUCUCAAUAAAGUUAUUAUUCCACACCUCAGUUCAGCGUCUCAAUAAAGUUAAUUUAAGUAAAACAAUUAUUAUUGUUGAUUGAAUGAUAUAUAUUUGGUAGAGCGGUUGUUUAUCUACCAUGGUUGAAUACUGGCACAGCACUUGCAGGUCAUAACAGAGUGAUACCCAACUGGGUCUGUGUUGUACGCUAAGGCCUUUACAAAGGUAUUCAAUACAGUCAAAAACACACAACGAGCAACUUCUACCAGUCCAAUAAAACUACUGGAGAGAAACAGUUUGAUUAUUUUGGUUUCUAUAGAUACUAAAUGUAAGUAAAGACAUGAAGGUCCUCAUACAUCUCUGUUUUGAAGCUCCCACACGUUGUCAUCACAACUUAAAACAAUCAAUGGGGUAAAUCUAAACCACCGAUAGGUUACAUCAACCCCCCCCUCGCCCCCUCCCCUGCAGCGACCACAGACAGAGCGCCAUCUAGGGAGGUACGAAGAAGAAGCCGAAACACAAAAAAAACACGAUUAUUAUUAUUGUUGUUGUUGUUUUUUGUUUACAGAUUUUUUUCCUCUCUCUUGACCACCAUCUGUGGCAAUGAGAGAGAUUGAAACAAGGUCAUAUAUAUAUAUAAAGAGAGAUCAUCAUCACAUUAUUAAUUUUAAAACAUUUUGACGUUGUGACACAGACAGAAUUAAGCCCCUCCUCCCCGUGUCUGUAGUCCUUGUGAUUGGCUACAAUAUGCAUAGAUACAGGGAUCAGCUUUAUGGUUCAGUCCCACUGACGUCACACACACACACACACACACACACACACACACACACACACACACUGGGAGGACAGUGGCGAGGAGGAGGAGGAAGCACGCCGAUUUCUCUACCUUUUCGUAAGACAGCAUUUUUGGGGGGGGGUGAAACCGCUGAGCUCUUCCAAGCAGGUACAAACUAACUCACACAACCAGAAGUCGUUUCAGUGCUAGAAGAUGGAUGCAUCCGACAAGGAGAGAAUCUGGGGAGACACUGGCUCCAUUUCAGGUCUAACCAGAACCACACCAGAACCACGGGUCAGGACACUGACCGACCCCACACCAGAUCUACAGUCCGGACACUGACC